rnacentral:rRNA from 1 species
UACGUAGGCAGCAAGCGUUGUUCGGAGUUACUGGGCGUAAAGCGUGUGUAGGCGGAGUUCUAAGUACCUUGUGAAAUCCCACGGCUCAACCGUGGAACUGCUUGGUAUACUGGUUCUCUUGGGUCAUCUAGGGGCGAGCGGAACAAACGGUGGAGCGGUGAAAUGCGUAGAUAUCAUUUGGAACGCCAAUGGUGAAAACAGCUCGCUGGGGAUGUACCGACGCUGAGACACGAAAGCCAGGGGAGCGAACGGG